rnacentral:rRNA from 1 species
GACGAACGCUGGCGGCGUGCUUAACACAUGCAAGUCGAACGGUGAAGCGCCUUCCUUUUUGGUGGGUGUGGAUGAGUGGCGAACGGGUGAGUAACACGUGAGUAACCUGCCCCCUUCUUCUGGAUAACCGCAUGAAAGUGUGGCUAAUACGGGAUAUUCUGGGUCUGUCGCAUGAUGGGUCUGGGAAAGAUAUUGUUUCGGUGGGGGAUGGGCUCGCGGCCUAUCAGCUUGUUGGUGGGGUGAUGGCCUACCAAGGCGGUGACGGGUAGCCGGCCUGAGAGGGUGGACGGUCACACGGGGAGUGAGACACGGCCGAGACUCCUACGGGAGGCAGCAGUGGGGAAUAUUGCACGAUGGGCGCAAGCCUGAUGCAGCGACGCCGCGUGAGGGAUGGAGGCCUUCGGGUUGGGAACCUCUUUCGCCAGUGAAGCAGGCCUGCCUCGUUUGUGGGUGGGUUGACGGUAGCUGGAUAAGAAGCGCCGGCUAACUACGUG